rnacentral:rRNA from 1 species
GACGAACGCUGGCGGCGUGCUUAACACAUGCAAGUCGAACGGUAAGGCCCUUCGGGGUACACGAGUGGCGAACGGGUGAGUAACACGUGGGUGAUCUGACCUGCACUUCGGGAUAAGCCUGGGAAACUGGGUCUAAUACCGGAUAGGACCACUGCCUGCAUGGGUGGUGGUGGAAAGCUUUUGCGGUGUGGGAUGGGCCCGCGGACUAUCAGCUUGUUGGUGGGGUGAUGGCCUACCAAGGCGACGACGGGUAGCCGGCCUGGGAGGGUGACCCGCCACACUGGGACUGAGAUACGGCCCAGACUCCUACGGGAGGCAGCAGUGGGGAAUAUUGCACAAUGGGCGCAAGCCUGAUGCAGCGACGCCGCGUGAGGGAUGACGGCCUUCGGGUUGUAAACCUCUUUCAGCACCGACGAAGCGCAAGUGACGGUAGGUGCAGAAGAAGGACCGGCCAACUACGUGCCAGCAGCCGCAGUAA